rnacentral:misc_RNA from 1 species
UCCGAUUUGGCACCGGCGGUCUCCCAUGAGUCCCCGGCAUGACCCGCUGGCAACGUGGGACAGGGGUUGCGCUCGUUGCGCCACUUAAGGCAACACCUCACGGCACAAGCUGACGACAGCCAUGCACCACCUGUCACCCGCCCCGAAGGACACCAUGUCUCCAUGGCUUUUCGGGUGAUGUCAAACCCAGGUAAGGUUCUUCGCGUUGCAUCGAAUUAAUCCGCAUGCUCCGCCGCUUGUGCGGGCCCCCGUCAAUUCCUUUGAGUUUUAGCCUUGCGGCCGUACUCCCCAGGCGGGGAACUUAAUGCGUUAGCUGCGGCACCGACGACGUGGAAUGUCGCCAACACCUAGUUCCCACCGUUUACGGCGUGGACUAC